AGCUUGCUUCCUGGUGGCGAGCGGCGGACGGGUGAGUAAUGCAUAGGAAUCUGCCCGGUAGUGGGGGAUAACCUGGGGAAACCCAGGCUAAUACCGCAUACGCCCUACGGGGGAAAGCAGGGGCUCUUCGGACCUUGCGCUAUCGGAUGAGCCUAUGUCGGAUUAGCUGGUUGGUGAGGUAAUGGCUCACCAAGGCGACGAUCCGUAGCUGGUCUGAGAGGAUGAUCAGCCACAUCGGGACUGAGACACGGCCCGAACUCCUACGGGAGGCAGCAGUGGGGAAUAUUGGACAAUGGGCGCAAGCCUGAUCCAGCCAUGCCGCGUGUGUGAAGAAGGCCCUCGGGUUGUAAAGCACUUUCAGUGGGGAAGAAAGCCUGGUGGUUAAUACCCGUCAGGAAGGACAUCACCCACAGAAGAAGCACCGGCUAACUCCGUGCCAGCAGCCGCGGUAAUACGGAGGGUGCGAGCGUUAAUCGGAAUUACUGGGCGUAAAGCGCGCGUAGGUGGCUUGAUAAGCCGGUUGUGAAAGCCCCGGGCUCAACCUGGGAACGGCAUCCGGAACUGUCAGGCUAGAGUGCAGGAGAGGAAGGUAGAAUUCCCGGUGUAGCGGUGAAAUGCGUAGAGAUCGGGAGGAAUACCAGUGGCGAAGGCGGCCUUCUGGACUGACACUGACACUGAGGUGCGAAAGCGUGGGUAGCAAACAGGAUUAGAUACCCUGGUAGUCCACGCCGUAAACGAUGUCGACUAGCCGUUGGGUCCUUCGCGGACUUUGUGGCGCAGUUAACGCGAUAAGUCGACCGCCUGGGGAGUACGGCCGCAAGGUUAAAACUCAAAUGAAUUGACGGGGGCCCGCACAAGCGGUGGAGCAUGUGGUUUAAUUCGAUGCAACGCGAAGAACCUUACCUACCCUUGACAUCCUGCGAACCCUUCGGAGACGAAGGGGUGCCUUCGGGAACGCAGAGACAGGUGCUGCAUGGCUGUCGUCAGCUCGUGUUGUGAAAUGUUGGGUUAAGUCCCGUAACGAGCGCAACCCUUGUCCUUAUUUGCCAGCGAGUAAUGUCGGGAACUCUAAGGAGACUGCCGGUGACAAACCGGAGGAAGGUGGGGACGACGUCAAGUCAUCAUGGCCCUUACGGGUAGGGCUACACACGUGCUACAAUGGUCGGUACAAAGGGUUGCGAACUUGCGAAAGUGAGCUAAUCCCAGAAAGCUGAUCUCAGUCCGGAUCGGAGUCUGCAACUCGACUCCGUGAAGUCGGAAUCGCUAGUAAUCGUGAAUCAGAAUGUCACGGUGAAUACGUUCCCGGGCCUUGUACACACCGCCCGUCACACCAUGGGAGUGGACUGCACCAGAAGUGGUUAGCCUAAC
rnacentral:rRNA from 1 species